rnacentral:pre_miRNA from 1 species
AGCGGAAUUGCUGGGUCAUAUGGUAAUUCUUCAACUUUUUGAAGAACUGCCAAACUGUUUGUCAUAGUGGCUGCAUCAUUUUAAGUCCCCACUAGCAAU